rnacentral:rRNA from 1 species
GACGAACGCUGGCGGCGUGCCUAAUACAUGCAAGUAGAACGCACAGUUUAUACCGUAGCUUGCUACACCAUAAACUGUGAGUUGCGAACGGGUGAGUAACGCGUAGGUAACCUGCCUGGUAGCGGGGGAUAACUAUUGGAAACGAUAGCUAAUACCGCAUAAUAUUGAUUAUUGCAUGAUAAUUGAUUGAAAGAUGCUAUUGCAUCACUACCAGAUGGACCUGCGUUGUAUUAGCUAGUAGGUGAGGUAACGGCUCACCUAGGCGACGAUACAUAGCCGACCUGAGAGGGUGGUCGGCCACACUGGGACUGAGACACGGCCCAGACUCCUACGGGAGGCAGCAGUAGGGAAUCUUCGGCAAUGGACGAAAGUCUGACCGAGCAACGCCGCGGGAGUGAAGAAGGUUUUCGGAUCGUAAAGCUCUGUUGUAAGAGAAGAACGGGUGUGAGAGUGGAAAGUUCACACUGUGACGGUAUCUUACCAGAAAGGGACGGCUAACUACGUG